GUUGGCAACCCUGUAUGCCAGCCUCUACCUCACUACCUCUUGGAGGAUACCAGAGACAGGAUCCUAUAGUUGCUCCAAAUCUUGUACAAAGGAGGUCAAGUAAGGUGUCUAUGGAAAGGAUGUACUUUGCUGGUUAUGAUUAUGCUGUCUGUAUGUCUGUAUCAUUUUUGUAUGUGAAGUUAUGAAUAUUGGCUACAUAUUUGUAUCUCGAUGUGUUUGAUUCUUAGGAGCAUCAGUGAAGCAUUUGGUAAGCUUCUUGAGAAAGGACUAUUCUGAGUAAUUACAGGUUUCAGAGGAACAGCCGUGUACUCCUUUUCUUUAUUCUGAGUAAGUGCCCAGUCAAGAAACACUUAACUGACAAUGGACUUUGGGAGACGCCAAUCCACAUCUGAGCUUUCCUGCGAACAUUCAAACUAACAUGUAAACAAUAGCAUCAGCCUGCAAAAAGCUGAAUCAUUCAUGGACAUGUGACUUGCCCAGGUGGCUACAAACUCCAUCUUGUUGCUGUGAUUUUGCACAGAAGAACAAAGGGGUUUCUGCCCACAAGAGAGAGAAUAUAAAAGGCAGUGGAAGCCUCUCCCUUUUGUCUUCAGAUGGCUCAAGAAAUGGCCUUUCCACCCCAAAGGGAUGCCUGAAAGAAACUGGAACAAAGGUCUGUAACUACGGGGGUGUGAGUGAUUGCUGGACCCAGGCCAUAAAACACAAUGUUGGUCCAAAAAGGAUUUGGCCCAGAGUAGGAAGGAGUUUAGUCUGUGAAAGAAGCUUACUGGAACAUCUCUGAGGGAAUUCUACAGCUGUGCCUUCACUGCUCACCUCCCCUCAACCCCCACCUCCCAGCCAAGGAAAUCCAGGACAUCUCAGCUGGAACUGUGCUUAUACAGAUACACUUCAUGAGGAAACAGGUGUUUCCAGAAAACACUGGAGUAAGAAGUGAACUUCCAGAUGUGAGACUUCUGAGCUGCAGGGCUCAAAAAUUUAACCAGAGGUCCCUGCUGCAGUGACAGUUGAAUUGUGCGCUUGUUGCUGGAAGACUGUGUUUGCUGGUACUGGUACAUCUGUGUACAUACAGGCAUUUUGUCAGCAGCACUAUCCUACUAGAGGAUUUCGUCACUCAGGGAACUGGUUUAAUUUUACAAGUAAAUUUUCAGAGUUUUGUCAGCAGGACUCAGUUUUGAGCGUGGAUGCAUGUAAGCUGUGCUGACAGAAUUAAAAUUUGUAGCUAGUUUUACCUGACCCAGGAUACUAUGUGAAGUGUUUGGCAUAUCUUCUGUUAAAGUGGCACUUAAUAACAGAGAUGUGUGUGUAUAUAAUACAAUUGAUCAGAAAGCCAGGAUCACUGUAGUACAAACAUUCUGAGCCAAAUCAGAGUUUGUAAUAUAUGACCUUGCAGGAUCUGUAUUUAAUGUUCUUACAAACAACAUACAUUUUAAUUUUCAGUGCAUGAGUAGUUUCAUUAAAAAUAGAAGUUAUGUAUA